CCAAGUUUUCAACACCAUUAGUACUGAGUUCCCAGCACCCUAAGUAUUGAGUCCCUGUCUUAGUCAGGGUUUCUAUUCCUGCACAAACAUCAUGACCAAGAAGCAAGUUGGGAGGAAAGGGUUUAUUUGGCUUACACUUCCAUACUGCUGCUCAUCACCAGGGAAGUCAGGACUGGAACUCAAGCAGGUCAGGAAUCAGGAGCUGAUGCAGAGGCCAAGGAGGGAUGUUCUUUACUGACUUGCCUCCCCUGGCUUGCUCAGCCUGCUCUCUUAUAGAACCCAAGACUACCAGCCCAGAGAUGGUCCCACCCACAAGGGGCCUUUCCCCCUUGAUCACUAAUUGAGAAAAUACCCUACAGCUGGAUCUCAUGGAGGCAUUUCCCAACUAAAGCUCCUUUCUCUGUGAUAACUCCAGCUGUGUCAAAUUGACACACAAAACCAGCCAGUACAGUCCCCAAGCACCUAAGUACUGAGCAUGCAGCACCCAAAGCACUGAGCCCCCAGCACCAUAAAUACUGAGCCACAAGUACCCAAGUACUCAGUCCCAGCACCCUGAGUACUGAGUCUCAAGUAACCCAAGUACUAAGUGCUAAGCACCCUAUGUACUGUGUCCCCAGUAUCCUUAGUACAGAGUACCCAGCCCCUUUAGUACUGUGUUCCCAGCACCCAAAAUACUUAGUUCCCAGCACCCAGAGUACCUAGAUCCCAGGACCCUAAGCACUGAGCCACAAGCACCCCAAGUACUCAGCCCCUAGCACCCAACAUACUGAGAACCGAGCACCCUAAGUACUGAGCCACAAGCAAGCACCAAGUACUAAGUCCCUAGCACCCUAAGUACUGUGUCCCUAGCACCCAAAGGACUGAGUGAGCAGGACCCUAAAUACUGAUCCACAAUCACCCCAAGUACUAAGUCACCAGCACUCUAAGUACUGUGUCCCCAGCAACCCCAGUAAUGCAUCCCCAACAUCCUAAAUCCU
rnacentral:lncRNA from 1 species